rnacentral:rRNA from 1 species
UACGAAGGGGGCUAGCGUUGUUCGGAUUUACUGGGCGUAAAGCGCACGUAGGCGGAUCGUUAAGUCGGGGGUGAAAUCCUGGAGCUCAACUCCAGAACUGCCUUCGAUACUGGCGAUCUUGAGUCCGGAAGAGGUGAGUGGAACUCCUAGUGUAGAGGUGAAAUUCGUAGAUAUUCGGAGGAAACACCAGUGGCGAAGGCGGCUCACUGGUCCAUUACUGACGCUGAGGUGCGAAAGCGUGGGGAGCAAACAGG